rnacentral:lncRNA from 1 species
AGUGAGGUGGAUCUACACGGGCUGAGUCUUACUGUCUGCAUAGUUAAGAAGCCUUAACUUGUUUAAAGAGAUGACGGAGGUUGCGAAUGCCUGACAGUCUUGAAAGGAGAUUGAGAACUUUUCCUACUUUGCAUGAUCGUGUUUCCUGCUUGGUGUCAGUGACUCAGAGAGCUCUUGAUCUCGAGUUAGUGGCUUUUCAAAGUUUCUUGUAUUUUCUUCUCGGCUGGGUGCAAAUCAUCAUUUUAGAUUUUUGACGCUUGUACCAAAAGAGAAGUUGAGGAGAUCUUGAAAACACCAGUAACUUAAUUUUGCCGUCGGUUUAGAAGUUGAGUGGGUGCCCGCUCACAGGCAGUGGCUUUCUGGCCACAAAUCCAAGGGACCACAGACUUUAUACAGGGAAAUGGUCACUUCUAGAGGACAGUUCACAGUUUAUCAAAGGGAGUGCCACCACCCUGAGAAUAUUCCUAAGUAUGCAUCAGUGUGUGUAUAAUCUAUUUCCUCUGGGUAAACUUGGUCGGGUGGGGGGUAUUUGUGUAUAUUGAGUCCCAGGCUCUAGAGGAGGUACAAGGAAUAGGAAAGUUUUAUUUUUGGAAGUAGGUAUGACUCUCUUCGGAGUUGUAGACAUAAAUCUAAUGGUAAGAAUAAGUUUAUUGGCAUAAGAAGUAAAAACUGAAUUUUUUUUUUUUUUUUAGUGUGUAGAUGUAGUUUUACUGGCAAUAAUUAGUGUUAGAUUUCUAUCAGCACAUGAAUUGCAGUAUAAAUCACACCCCCUGCUUAGCCCCCUCUGGUAAGCCUCUUUGUUGUAAUGAUUACUCCUUGAAGACUGGUGUUCAUAAUAGCUUAAUUUUUUGGUUUUAAUCUUUGUAAAUGAUGUAAUAUAAUUUCUUUUGACUAAACAUGGAAAAAUAACGUGUGUUAUACAUUGAAGUUUUUACAGGCUUUGACUGGAAUCAUUUUUGAAGAGACGGUAUUUUAUAUGCUUCCAGUGUUUGGAAAAGAAUUAGUCAAAAGGAAUUCAAAUAAUUUAAAUAUUGACAAAUUAAUAUCCAAAUAACAUACUUGUGUGAUUUUUUUAAUAACCUGGGGAGAGUAGGGAUGGGGUGGGAAUUACAAUGUGCAAAUAAAGAGCGAUCUUUGCAUUCAUUUUCAAUUCUUAAUACAAAACUGCUAAAUUGUAACACAUUGUUACUUUAAUGUAUGUAUAAAGUAUUACUGUUUAUAAAGCUGCUGUUUGCUUAAGGAAUUAUCAUGUAAGUAUUUUCUGUACAUGGUGCCAACAGAUUAGAACAUUAAUUUAAUUCGCUGAAAGCUUAUCUUUUUAUUUAAAUUUUUUCUGUGGAAUAUUUUAUUUGCAAACAUCUCUCCAUCUCCCUUGUUCCUUUAACCUUUGUACACACCAGGGAUUCUGUAGAAUCUAAAACUGACCCCCAGUUAAUGAUAGCAUUUAAACUUUGUUGGCACAUCACACCUUAAAAGUAUUUGUAUUGUUUUGUAAUUUAAUUUCUAAAUAUACCACCUGAAUUUAUAAUUUAAUGUCUUAAUUGUAGUGCUCUAAUAAAAACUAGCAAAAC